AAUGAACGCUGGCGGCGUGUCUUAAGCAUGCAAGUCGUGCGGCAAGGGUAGCAAUACCCCUAGAGCGGCGGACUGGUGAGUAACGCGUGGGUGAUCUGCCUCUGGGAUGGGGAUAGCCACUAGAAAUAGUGGGUAAUACCGAAUACGUUCACCGAACUGUGGUUUGGUGAGGAAAGGCGCUUCGGCGCCACCCGGAGAUGAGCCCGCGUCCCAUUAGCUAGUUGGUGAGGUAACGGCCCACCAAGGCGAUGAUGGGUAGGCGGCCUGAGAGGGUGUACGCCCACACUGGGACUGAGAUACGGCCCAGACUCCUACGGGAGGCAGCAGCUAAGAAUAUUCCGCAAUGGACAAAGUCUGACGGAGCGACGCCGCGUGGAUGAAGAAGGCCGAAAAGGGUUGU
rnacentral:rRNA from 1 species